GUGCUUUUCCGAUCUGCUUGAUCCCAGAAAUGAGAAUAUGACAUAGGAGGAGAUAAUCCCUUAGCUGUAGAAAGUUUUUGGAGACGUGUGGAAUAUAGUGGUCACUGGUAGACUUUGAACCUAUA